GGGGUGGAAAGGUAAGUCUACUGUCUGGGGUAGAAAGGUAAGUCUACUGUCUGGGGUAGAAAGGUAUGCCUACUGUCUGGGGUAGAAAGGUAUGCCUACUGUCUGGGGUGGAAAGGUAAGUCUACUGUCUGGGGUAGAAAGGUAAGUCUACUGUCUGGGGUAGAAAGGUAUGCCUCCUGUCUGGGGUAGAAAGGUAUGCCUCCUGUCUGGGGUAGAAAGGUAUGCCUCCUGUCUGGGGUAGAAAGGUAGGCCUACUGUCUGGGGUAGAAAGGUAAGUCUACUGUCUGGGGUAGAAAGGUAAGUCUACUGUCUGGGGUAGAAAGGUAGGCCUACUGUCUGGGGUAGAAAG
ensembl:lncRNA